rnacentral:rRNA from 1 species
ACGGUUCUCGUCCGAUACCGUAGUUAAGCUCAGUAGGGCACGGUUAGUACUUGGAUGGGUGACCGCCUGGGAAUACAGUGUGCUGUAGGCA